rnacentral:rRNA from 1 species
AGUGAACGCUGGCGGUAGGCCUAACACAUGCAAGUCGAACGGCAGCACAGUAAGAGCUUGCUCUUACGGGUGGCGAGUGGCGGACGGGUGAGGAAUACAUCGGAAUCUACUUUUUCGUGGGGGAUAACGUAGGGAAACUACGCUAAUACCGCAUACGACCUACGGGUGAAAGCAGGGGAUCUUCGGACCUUGCGCGAUUGAAUGAGCCGAUGUCGGAUUAGCUAGUUGGCGGGGUAAAGGCCCACCAAGGCGACGAUCCGUAGCUGGUCUGAGAGGAUGAUCAGCCACACUGGAACUGAGACACGGUCCAGACUCCUACGGGAGGCAGCAGUGGGGAAUAUUGGACAAUGGGCGCAAGCCUGAUCCAGCCAUACCGCGUGGGUGAAGAAGGCCUUCGGGUUGUAAAGCCCUUUUGUUGGGAAAGAAAAGCAGCAGGUUAAUACCCCGCUGUUCUGACGGUACCCAAAGAAUAAGCACCGGCUAACUUCGU